rnacentral:rRNA from 1 species
AGCAGCCGCGGUAAUUCCAGCUCCAAUAGCGUAUAUUAAAGUUGUUGCAGUUAAAAAGCUCGUAGUUGAACUUCGGGGUUUACCCAUUGGUCAGGCUUAAUUGUCUGUACUGGUGAGAUAAAUCUCUACCUUCUGAGGAACUUUCAUGCCAUUUAUUUAGUGUGAUGGGAAAUCAGGACUGUUACUUUGAAAAAUUAGAGUGUUUAAAGCAGGCUAACGUCUGAAUAUAUUAGCAUGGAAUAAUGAAAUAGGACGGAUUGAUUCUAUUUCGUUGGUUUCUAGGGUCACCGUAAUGAUUAAUAGGGAUAGUUGGGGGCAUUAGUAUUCAAUUGUCAGAGGUGAAAUUCUUGGAUUUAUUGAAGACUAACUACUGCGAAAGCAUUUGCCAAGGAUGUUUUCAUUAAUACAAGAACGAAGGUUAGGGGAUCGAAGACGAUCAGAUACCGUCGUAGUCUUAACC